CAAAAGACGAUAUUUAUGGACUGGACUGUGGAAGAUGGAAAAAUCUUUCGUCUAAACUUAUUUCUUGACGUGUAGGUAAAUAAGGCUCCAAAGCAAUUUAUUUCAGUCUUGCCAUCAUCGAGGUGGUUCAUGGCUCCGUUCGACUGUCUCCGAUGUUUUUCAUCCGACAAUGGUGAUCUAGAUUUUAGCUGCAAUGUAAAAUUCAAUUUCGUACCGUAUUCACCAGCAAUGUAUUUGGUACAACUUGUCAACCACUAUAGGGCCUCUUCUAGGGGAUUCUUGGAUGGUGGCAUACAAUUCUGUUGAGAGUGAUUAAUUCCCUUUGAUGCAAAGCUACUUUUCAGGAAGAUCUCCCUAAUCAAUAUCAGGAAUUGUGACCUUUCAGACAAGUACCUUUCGGUAUUAUCCUAUACACUUAUUUUAGUGAAGUUGUAUUUUUUAAACAAUGCCUGGCUUUUAUUACGCAAGCUAAUAUUGAGUGGUUUCGAAAGGACAGGUUUUCCUUAUUCAUUUGUUACAUGCUGUAAUAUAAGAUGCACUUCUUCAGAAGAAAUCAAUGGCCUUUUUCUUCAAGAAUUUCCUUUAUUGUGACAAAUCUGCCUGUUUCGAUGGAUAGCUGAGCCGCCACACCAAUAGCUACAGAUAGCAGACCUUCUUGCAAGCUGAGAGUAGAUACUUUGUUGCCUUUUUUCCUAACAGCAGCUAGAAAUUCAAGGUGUUCCAAAUAACUGGAACCAUGAUGAAGUCCCAUGUACCUGAAAAAACCCAAAAGAUACUAUGAUAAGUAAAUACAGCUAUAAGUUUUGCAGGAUUAGCUAAAUAGUAAAUGAAGCCCAUCAAAACAACCAUGUUUGUUAAUAAUAUUAAGUGAACAAUUAGGGUCCAUUGCCACAAGCACUUAGACCAGAACCAGCUAUCAAAGCUGGAUUGUUGACCAUGUGUUUCCUCACUGUGUUUUUAUAUGAUAUAAUAUUUUAAUCCUGGGCUCGUAUGAUAGAAAGGGAUGUGUUGGAGUGCUUAUGUGAAUUGGGAACAGGAUAUGAUACUUUGAAAGGUGUAUCUUAUGUCAUUGCUUUAUAUAUUUACUUUUAACAUCUGUUCGCUUU